rnacentral:rRNA from 1 species
GACGAACGCUGGCGGCGUGCCUAAUACAUGCAAGUAGAACGCACAGUUUAUACCGUAGCUUGCUACACCAUAGACUGUGAGUUGCGAACGGGUGAGUAACGCGUAGGUAACCUGCCUGGUAGCGGGGGAUAACUAUUGGAAACGAUAGCUAAUACCGCAUAAUAUUAAUUAUUGCAUGAUAAUUAAUUGAAAGGUGCAAUUGCACCACUACCAGAUGGACCUGCGUUGUAUUAGCUAGUAGGUGAGGUAACGGCUCACCUAGGCGACGAUACAUAGCCGACCUGAGAGGGUGAUCGGCCACACUGGGAUUGAGACACGGCCCAGACUCCUACGGGAGGCAGCAGUAGGGAAUCUUCGGCAAUGGACGAAAGUCUGACCGAGCAACGCCGCGUGAGUGAAGAAGGUUUUCGGAUCGUAAAGCUCUGUUGUAAGAGAAGAACGGGUGUGAGAGUGGAAAGUUCACACUGCGACGGUAUCUUACCAGAAAGGGACGGCUAACUACGUG